rnacentral:lncRNA from 1 species
CCUGUGUAUCUCAAGCAACAAAGAGAGCUGUGGAGCAAGGAGAUUCCCUGUGUAAUCGGGAGCACUGGAUGUGAAUCCCAGGUCUGGCAUGGGAACCUUGGAAUUCAUAGCAGAUUCUUAUUUUUAGUAAAACCCUACCAUUUAUAAAAGAGGAAAUUAUGGCAAGCAUUUUAUUCAUUACUCACUAGUGUUUUUUUUUUUAUCAUUGAGAAUACUCAGUGAGUGAUGCUGAGUGGAAUGUUACGUAUCACCAUCAUCAUCAGCAUCCAUCCCACCACCAUCAUCACAACCACCACCACCACCAUCAUCAUCAUCAUCAUCAUCAACAGCUUUUUCCAAGCAAGUCUGGAAUAAGAAGAGAAGUCGGAGGAUUUAGGCUUUGUACUUCCUGGCAGCCCCAGCCCCUGAGGCUCAUGCGAUCCUGCUCACCUUCUCUCCCUGACCCCGAACCCUAAGGGGCUCCCGCACUCCAGAUCGUAGCUGGCUCUUCUCUAUUCUUUUCCUUAUUCCAGCCAUUAGAGUCUUUUGGGACUGGCUUCUCAACCUUUGUCACAUUGGGCUUGAUAUUUUUAGUUUCUUUCAGUGGUAAAUAUUAGAUUAUUCAGAAAAAUUGUUGUCCCAGAUUUCCACACA